GAUGAACGCUAGCUAUAGGCUUAACACAUGCAAGUCGAGGGACCGGCGCGCGGGUGAGUAACGCGUAUCCAACCUGCCCAUAACUAAGGGAUAACCCAGCGAAAGUUGGACUAAUGCCUUAUGGUUAUGGAUGGGGAUGCGUCUGAUUAGCUUGUUGGCGGGGUAACGGCCCACCAAGGCAACGAUCAGUAGGGGUUCUGAGAGGAAGGUCCCCUGGAUUGGAACUGCGACCCGGUCCAAACUGCUACGCGAGGCAGGAGUGAGGAAGAUUGGGCAAUGGACGCAAGUCUGAACCAGCCAAGUAGCGUGCAGAAGGUCGGCCUAUGUGUUGUAAACUGCUUUUAUAGGGGGAUAGGUACCAUAUGAAUAAGGACCGGCUAAUUCCGUGCCAGCAGCCGCGGUAAUAC
rnacentral:rRNA from 1 species